CUUAUGAAGAGCCACACUUCUCUAAGGAAGAGAGAAGCACUGCUUUUGUCUACGUGUAUUCUAUAAUCUUCCAUGUUUCCGUGCCAUCACCACACUCUCUCUCCUCAGUUCUUCCCCCUCUCUCUCCACCACCACCACCACAGCCCUUCCUUUACUCGCACCUCUUUCUACAAACCCACCUCUCUAUUCUCCUUCUCAGCGCUUCCUCGUCCCAGACCCGACCUAUGGCUCGCCCAGCUCCCCGACCCAGCAACCACAACGGCACCCAUUACUCCACCAGAAGAGGGUGGUCCCAUAGAGCUCCCACUAUCGUCUCCUUCCAUUUUUGCUACUACAGAUGACCCUUCUCCUCUCCAGGUGGCCACUAGUGUCCUUCUCACUGGAGCCAUUUCUGUCUUUCUCUUUCGCUCUAUUCGUCGCCGAGCUAAGCGUGCUAAAGAACUGGUAUUUCGCUUUAGACCUUCGCCUUGAUGUUGUUGCAGCAAAUCUUUGUUAGCUUUACUGGUUGAUUAUGUUACUGUGGUUUUAGAAAGUGCCUUUUGGUACAUGGGUUUACAAAAUUUGUCAGAAUUGAAGAUGAAUUUUGGCAUCCCAUCAAAUUUUUAUGUCUACUUGCAUGUUAUUUCGAUUCAUUUUGAAUUAUAAGUGUGGUAUAAUUGUUUUCCAUUGGGUUGACUCUGCAGCUGCAUUAGUGUUUGCUAUAAUGAUUCAAAUGGGCAUUUGACAAAAUUGGGGUAUAGUGCAAUUUAUUCACUUUCAUUUUAUACUUUAGCUUCAUCGGGAAAGGAAUUUUGAGCAACUGUACGUGUUUUGAGAGAUUUAGGUCAUCAGGGGCGAAGAAAACAAUGAAAGAGGAGGCGUUAGAUAGUUUGAAAGCAAUGGGAUCAGCUUCAAUUGAUGCUAAGAAGCCUCCUUCACCGGUUCAGGCAUUUUUAGGAGGAAUAUCAGCAGCAGUGAUUGCACUUAUACUCUAUAAGUUCACUACUACCAUUGAGAUAGCUCUUAGCCGCCAGACGAUGUCAGAUAAUUUCUCUGUUGGUUCCAUUACUUACCUUUUGCUCUUUGUUGGCUUUUGUUUGCUCAUCAAUUUUGGUCAGUUUCGUUGUCCUAAUGCAAAAACUAAAGAAUUUCAAUCCAUUAAUGUCUUAUCCAAAUCAUGUAUAAUGGCAAUACUCAGGACUUCUAUAUUACAUUCUUAUUGUAUACUACAGAAUAUUCUCACCUGUUAAAAGAAAAUGUUUGAACAUGGUUGGUGAGUACACAUUGAAACUUUAAUUAUAUAAUUGUCACAUUCUUCUCAUUUUCCUGCUUUUCAGGUUCGUCAAAUAACAAUAACAAUCAGGUAGCCCACGCUACUACAAUCUUCUAACUUCUAUGAUUUCAUUUAUAUGAGGAAGCUGUGAAAUCUCCUUUCUGUUCGCAGGACAAUUAUAAAUGGGUUGUGCUAUCUUGCAACAUUCGUUUUUGGCAUCAAUUCUGUUGGUUUAUUCCUUUACUCUGCGCAGCUUGCCAUCAACUCUUUCAUGGAAGAUUCUACUAGUGAAGAAAUUGAAAGUAAAGGCAAUGAGCAGUCUGGUUCACUGAAUUCAACAACUGAGAGUCCUGCAGGUAGUGCUGAAUUGAACAGCAGCCAGAGAGAUCAAAAUCCAGAUAAUUCACAGUAGUAAAAAGGGGCAUCAAGAGAGUAGGUCUCUGUCCUGCUAACUCAUUUGUAUUUUGAGGGGGGAACAAGGGAAGGGCAUAAUCAAUUUUGGUCUUGCAAUUAUAAAUUAUAAUCAGGUGUAGUAAUGCUAUUAAUUUUUCAAUUUUUUUUUAAUUGUUCCAUGCACAACUUUCUAUGCAAUUAUUAACUUAGGGUUAUAAAGGAUGCAUAGUUUAUAGCAGCUGCUAUCGACAACCUUGUACCAUAUUGUUGAUGUCCUGCUUCUGCUUUUUCAGCAGAUAUAAGCUACUGGAGGAACUUCAAAAUAAAUUACAUCAAUUUCGGUCAUUGCCAUUUUCCUGAAUUUACUACUUUGAGCUUUCGUUUGUAAGCUGUCCCUUGCAAGUUCAAAUCAUUAUUCAUGCAAUUUGAACUAAAAACUCAAAUUCAAGUCAUUGGAUUUAAAUUUUCCUGCCAUUGCAACAAUAAAAAUUGUCAGCAUGUAUAUUUUCAUGAUGUAUGCUUUUCAAUUAUGAACUUAAAUAUGUUUGUUGUAUAUCAUUAGGUAAGUAAUAUUUCUUGCAAGAUGCUUCUUGUGAAAAGCUACGAAACCUUGUGCAUUCAAUGCAAGAACUGGAAAUUGAUCAUUUUGGUUUCUGCUGCAAGUUCUUUUUUACUUGCUUCUGCAUCUGAUGAAAAUGCACUCAAUUUAAUUGAUCCUAACAUGCUUGUGGUUGAUAUUAUUUGUUGUACUGCUGAAGAUUUACUAUCUUUACCAUGUGGAUUUCAUUAUGCACCAUUACACAUGCAACUGCAGUUAUUUCCUUGCCUAUCUUCCUGAACAGGUUACCACUGCUGAUUCAAAUUGAUGCAGAGGGUUCGAAUUUGUCCAGCGUUAAAAUCACCCCGAUAACCAAGGAAGCUACAAGCUUAAGACGGUAGCCACUCAUGAUCAGCAACCCAAUUGGCACUAAAAACUACAUCAAAGCAUACUUUUCUCUCUGUCCAACAAGUACACGUUUUAGCCAAAUGCCCUAUGUAGUGGAUUUGGUUAAACAGCAAAAUGACGACUCUGCCAAACUUGUACUUCCCCAUUCAUAUGGACUAAGCUACUACUAGUAAGAUUACAAUGAUUAAGCAUAUGCAUAUGAUUUGCUGCGUAGUUGUCCAUGUGAUGGUUCGGAGGAUAAGCCUUGGCAAACUUCAAAACUUAGGAUUUUUCUCCAUGUUGAGGAUGGAUUUUAGGAACUUGGAUCCAACUCAUGCCAGAGAUCCCACAUGAUUCAACUUCAUUCAAUUAUCCAUGUACAAAUAGUAGCACCAGAAAUUACAUUUCCUAAUGCCAAACUUUUACUUCCAAAUUUCAUUUGCUUCGUUGAAACUAAUGAGAUCU
rnacentral:misc_RNA from 1 species